GCGGCAAGAAGCGCCCGGCACUCAGGGCCGAGAGGGCAGCCGAGCGGGGCGAGACGUCGGCCCGGCCACCCGUGUCUGGCCCGCCUCCGCGGACACAAGGAGGCCGCCCCUCGGCCCAGCACUGGCACGGACGAGUGGGAGGUUUGGUUCCAGUCUGAAUUCAUCUAAUCCAGAAGAUUUUUCUAAAGAUAUGAAUUAUCACCAACACUAUGAAUUUGUUUUGCUAUUUAUCUUAACAUUAUAGCCUCAAUCAGCAAAUAGCCUGCUUUUUAAGUAAGCAAGUAAGCAGUGGACAAGAACAAAUCAAAAAAGCUAUCCUUUGAGCAUCUUCUGACAUCCUCCAAAUACAGAAGCAUCACAUGUGUACUUGGAAGAACUGAUCUGGACAUGCCCUUCAAGAAGAUAUAAGAAGGUAGAUCAUCAUGUUUGAAAGCUUUCAUUGGUUUUGGGUUUUGUACUAUUAAAAGAAAAGCAAAAAGAUGACCUUCUUAGAAACUUCUGUCAUUAUUUUAGCUUGAGAUGGCCUUCUUUUUUAAUUUUUUUUGUCUAUCAAAAGAUAGAGUCAGCUCAAAUACCAUUCUCUACAUAAAACUUUUCUUUUUCUAGGUUUUUUAUACUUCUUAGUUAGUAUUUACUUCAUCCAGGCUUGAAUACAGCUGGAUUUCCCCUGUUAGACUCCAAGUUCUUGGAAGGCAGGGACCCUAUAAAGUAUGGGAGCAGCUGAAGGCAGUGUCAGUCGGGAUGGCGUUUGAGGGGGUGUAAUAGAGACACACGGCAGGGAUGGCUAGUGCUGAGGCAAAGGUAAAGUUGCCAGCAGCAAUAACAGUGGCAGGGGCUGAAGAAGCAGAGAAUACGUAAUAGAAGGAGAGCCAGAGGAGAUCAGUGAGGCUGGCCUCAGGUCUGUCUGUUAGAGCAGACUCAGAAGCUGGAAUACUUUCCUAUGCCUCCUACCACAUCAUUGCUACCACCUAGAAUUAAAUGUUUGAUGAUAGCAUCUAAUUUUUUUUUUAACCAUAGAGGUGUCACCUAACACUGUUUCUCUGGAUGAAUCCUUUCCAUCUAUAACCCUAGAUGCCAGAAACACAGUUUUUCAAGAAUCUUCUUAGUUGAGUGUCAGGGACUGGAACAGAUUGGUAUCAGACUAUUAAAAUGUCAGAGAUGAUCCCUGCAUACCAGUGAAUUGUUAAUAGACUCUUUCUUUCUUCUUGGACAAGGAUUCCCAGGGAUUAGCACAGUGUCUGAGCCAUAUUUAGACCUCAAUAAAUAUUUGUUAAGUGAUUAAUAAUAAAUAAUAUUUAUUUGGAGCUUAUAUAUGUCAGACAUGGUACAAAAAUACUUUACAGUAUUGUGUCACUUAAUAGUAGUUACCAUUAUUCCUAUUUUACAGAUGAGUAAAUUGGAAUUUGAGAGAUUAAAUAACUUGUACAAAGUUACACAGCUAGUAAGUGGCAAAAUUGGGAUUUGAACCAAAGAAACCUACAUCUGAUAUGUUACACUACCUCCCAAUACCGAAAGCAUGCAAGAAUGAGUGACUGAUUGUUCUACACUUGCAUAAGAGACAUUCUCUGGGUUAAUGGUGCUCCAAGAGUACAAAAUUGCUUAAUGCAAGGGCAAAGGCUUGGGGCACCAUCUCUUAUAAAGAGUUAGUUUAUGAAACUCUAACUAAUUUUUGCUUAUUUUCUACUUGAAAUUGGAUGGAAUUCUCCAUCAAAUUUUCCAACUUUAUUUUUAAAUUUAACACAUCUACAUGAUAAAAAGAAACUUAAGAUGACAACUACUUCAGCAAAGAAUGAUGAUCAAAAAACCAGAUGCUACAUAUUUUCAGCUGCAGAAAUAUCACUGGAAGCCAGCUGUAUCUUCUAAAAUUUCAUGAUGUCAUCAUGGCUUCAGGAUCUAUUUAGGUGGUUCAUAAUCUUAUUAGCUUAUCUCUGCUUCCAGUCAUGCACUAGACUUUAAUUGCAUAGGUAUGUUCAUAACAUUGUUAGAAUUAGAGUUCUGGUUUCAUAUUUUAUGCAAGCAUCUUACUGGAUAGUGCACAAAAACUUGCUACCUACCAUAAUACCUAGUGACACACUGCAAAUUGAUGUCAUUGUUCCAUUUUUCUGAAGAGGUCAUCGCUUCCUGGCAUCAAGCUAUCACAUAAGUGACUCAGAGUUUUUGAUCUUGUUCAAGUUUUCCCAAAAGUUCAGGUCUAGGAUGAUGAUUUCAAAGUGUGAUGGAAGCAAAAAUGUUUCAGUUCAUCAGGUUUCAAUGUCACGGUGAAAUUCACCAUGUUUUCCAGGCAUCAGUUAUACUGCCAGGUUCAGAGAGAUUUCAAUUAUGUUAGGGAUGGAAAGAAUUUUACAUUUCCCACACCUCUACUCUGAAUUUCACUCUCCCAUCUCUUUGCCUCCAAUUUUAUUUACUGUUUAUUCAGCCUCAAAUUUACAACCUUAGAAAAGGAAACAAACUACAAUCUUUCACAGUCACUAUUCCCCUUUACAGAAUUUUAGAUAAUACAGUGUCAGAUAUUUUCUCAGAGAUCCUGCACUGGGGUCUGCUACUUUCUAAAUUUAUAAAAGUAAAACCACUAUCAAUUAUUGCCCAGUAGAAGGGCCUUCUCCUCAUGGCCCCACCAGAACUGGGUUAAGUUUUCUUAAGGAAUGAAUGGCAAGUUAUCUUCAUAACACAGGACUCCUCCCUGUAUCUACUGGUUAGUUAGACAAAAAUGAGACCACAUUUCUUUCCGUCAGUGCCCUACGUGAAUAAACCUAUCAUUUAUAUUCUCUUCUGUACAAUGAAAACUCAAUCUAAACUGUUGUAAGGGGAUGAGGGUGAGCUUAUGUAAUUGUUAAGUUCAGGUUAGGGAUGGACUUAUCUGGCGCUGGUUUAGUCAAGAGCUCAAACAAUGUCCUGCAGGUCUUGACUAUUCUCAUUCAGUUUUCUUGGCAGGACAUAGCUCUCCACCCUCAGAGUAUUAGCUUCAAUCACAGAAACAAGAUGGUGGAAACAUCUCUUGACUUUAAAUCCCCCAAAUUCCUAGUCAAAUAGAAAGGGACAACUUUGAUUCCUCAAAGGAUAACAUAAAUUUUCAAAAUUAGUUUGAUUGGAUUUGAUUGGCCUGACUUGGACCUGGGAUCGCUGGGAACCAAUUACUGCUGUUAGAAAAAUGUGAUGCUUUGAUUGGCCAGUCCUGGAUCAUGUGCCAUCUCUGGAGUCAAGGGAGCAUUUUCUCACUAGGGACAUAAGAACUGAAACUUAUGAUCCUUAAAUAGAUAAAUCGGAAAUAAUUAUCAGAAUAGGAUGAAUGGAUAUGGGGCACCUACUUAGCCAUAUGCAUCUACUAGAGUGCCCUUUCAGUUAGCCAUUUUACUCCUUUUCAUCUUUGGAUAUUUUCCAUUUCUUUCUUAUCCCAGUUCUUUUGGCAAGCACAC